GAGUUUGAUCAUGGCUCAGAUUGAACGCUGGCGGCAUGCCUUACACAUGCAAGUCGAACGGCAGCAUGAUCUAGCUUGCUAGAUUGAUGGCGAGUGGCGAACGGGUGAGUAAUACAUCGGAACGUGCCCUGUAGUGGGGGAUAACUAGUCGAAAGAUUAGCUAAUACCGCAUACGACCUGAGAGUGAAAGUGGGGGACCGCAAGGCCUCAUGCUAUAGGAGCGGCCGAUGUCUGAUUAGCUAGUUGGUGGGGUAAAGGCCCACCAAGGCGACGAUCAGUAGCUGGUCUGAGAGGACGAUCAGCCACACUGGGACUGAGACACGGCCCAGACUCCUACGGGAGGCAGCAGUGGGGAAUUUUGGACAAUGGGCGAAAGCCUGAUCCAGCAAUGCCGCGUGUGUGAAGAAGGCCUCGGUUGUAAGU
rnacentral:rRNA from 1 species